rnacentral:sRNA from 1 species
GCUGGGCGUGGUGGCGCAUGCCUGUAAUCCCAGCUACUUGGGAGGCUGAGGCAGGAGAAUCACUUGAACCCGGGAGGUGGAGGUUGCAGUGAGCCAAGAUCAUGCCACUGCACUCCAGCCUGGGCAACAGAGUGAGACUCCAUCUCAA